rnacentral:lncRNA from 1 species
GGUUAUGUUCGAUUGCUAAAUUAAUCUUUUGAACUGGUUAACAAAUGUUAUCUGAAUGAUUUGUUCAUAAAUCUGACUCAAGAACCAUUUCAUAAACAUAAGGUUCAAGACUUUUAGUUCUAUUCAAUGUAUAGGCUAAAUAUUUUUAUAUUCUUUGUAAGAACCAAUAGCAAAACUCACUGGCUGUAACUCUUGCUGUAAUCCUAACCAUUUGUAUUUAAUUAACAGAAUAAUAAAAUAACAAUGCAACAAAUUCUGACAUUUUAUUCUGAUGUACUAACACUUUCAGUGGACAAACUGGUCCAAUCCUUAGCUUGUCAUUUAUUAUACAAAAGUAGAAACACUCAAUUUCUAAUGUUUCUUAUGUUUAUUUCCCCUAGUCUGUCCAGAAACAAAACCUUAAAAUAUUCAAGUCAUUCUCCCCAUCAUGGAAGGCUCAUUUGUUGUGCCCAUGAUCGUGUUUUUCGCAAUGGCUGUUUCUAUGUUCAUCAUCUUCUACUGCCUGGCCAAAAGACAUGCACAGUAUGUGCAGUCAAAUACUACAGUCACGACUACACAACACCCACAAUACUCAUAUCAACAGCCUUUGGCUAAUCACAUACAGCCAGCGUAUGGGGCACAUCCCAUUCUGACUGGACCAUAUCAGCAAACUUAUGUCCCGGGACCACCACCCACAUAUCAGGAGGCGGCAGGUCUGUUUCCUGCUCCCUUCAGCCAGGCUGCAUAUGACGGUGGUCAGAUCAUGUACCCUCCACAAGCACCGGUUCAACCAGCGCUUCCCACAAACUACACUUCGACUCAUGUGGAAUCGCCAAAGACCAGUUAG